GUGAUCACUUCAGCAGCACAUAUAGUACUAAAACUGGAAUGAAACGGAGAUUAGCAUGGCCCCUGCACUAGGAUGAGAUGAAAAUUCGUGAAGUGUUCCAUAUUUUU